rnacentral:misc_RNA from 1 species
GAUGAAGAACGCAGCGAAAUGCGAAAAGUAAUGUGAAUUGCAGAAUUCAGUGAAUCAUCGAAUCUUUGAACGCACAUUGCGCCCGCUGGUACUCCGGCGGGCACGCCUGUCCGAGCGUCAUUUCAACUCUCAAGCCCUCCUUCGGGAUGGGCCUGGUGUUGGGGCUCGGCCGCCAUCUCCGGCGGCCGUCCCCUAAAUACAGUGGCGGUCACGUCGCGACUCCUUUGCGUAGUAGAAACACCUCGCUCCGGAUAGCAACGCGGUCCACGCCGUAAAACCCCCAAUUUUCAAUGGUUGACCUCGGAUCAGGUGGGAAUACCCGCUGAACUUAAGCAUAUCAAUAAGCGGAGGA